UUUUUUUUUUCCUUCAGGAAUACCAGUCAGGGUUGUUACAUUCCCUGGGGGCUCUGACCACCACAGGAUCCAUGCCUAUGUAAGCAAGGAAGGCAACCUCCUCUUGGGAGUCAUAUGCCAUGAGGCCCAGUAACUCCAUGCAUUCUAAAUGUGUCAGAGCACGAAGAUGUCAGAUUCAGCAGGGAGUUGUCCCUUGUCACUCCUUCUCAUUUCUCUGCUCUUCAUCCCUGUGGCUGCCUUGGAGGAAAACAUAAAACCUUCCAGACUGUUUCUAAUUGCAUAAUCCCAGGCCCCUGGACCUGCUGCCACUCUGUGUCCUGCCCCUGCCCAGGCCCUCUUCCUGGUUCAGGCACAGAAUGCCAACCUGACUCCCAGCAUGGAAACAAAUUAGUUUCUGAUGGAAAGGGAUUUGACUCAGAAGGAGAGAAAAUGCUUUGAGGACACUCCAGCAAAGGAAGCCUCUUUACCACCAGGUGGUCACCAAUAAUCUCUAAGAAGAUGCGAGGUACCUUAUAGUUGUAAACAAUUGUAGUAUCAGAUCUUUUCAAAAAGAACACAGCAGAGACAUCAGUUCAACGUUGGAGAAAUAGGAAAGAUUUCAUGCCAUCAAAUCAGGGAGGCUCUUGAAACAUCGCUGAUGUCCUAAUCUCCUUUUUCAGGUUUUUAAACAUCUAAGAAUACCAGGUAAAUUUAUCAGUACUUAUCUGGCAAAGAAGAGAGAGGGAGAGUAUAUAUGUGCAUGGAGAGAAUAAACUUGCAUAACUUUUCCAGCAUCGCAUGGCAAGCAGGAGGAUGCUGAUUUCACCAAUGAAAUAGCUAAUAAGAGCACAAAAGCAGACAUCUCAAAAGCAUUCCAGACUCCAAAGAAAAAGAGAACGUUCAGAAGAGGCUUCCAACCUGCUGGAAUAAAUCCCUUUGAACCUAAGAGAGCAAGAGUUCAUAUAAGCCACACUAAAAGUCAGAAUUUAUUGUUUAUCAGCAUGUUUAAUAAAAUUUAUUUUGAAAAGUGUAUUAAGCAGUACAAUAAAAUAAUACCUAUCUGUAUUAAAAAAUCA